AUUUGAUAGACUGCUGUUUUUCUGGUCUGACCGUCGCAACCCUCAUGAAGUACAACCAGCAUAUGCUACAAGGUACGCAAUAACUGUUUGGUAUUUUGAUGCAGAUGAGAGAGCACGAGCUAAAGUAAAAUAUCUAACAGGUGAAAAAGGUGUGAGGGUUGAACUCAAUAAACCUUCAGAUUCGGUCGGUAAAGACGUCUUCUAGAGCCUUUGAUCCAGCAAUACCCCACUUCACCUACAAUAUUGUUAACUAUUUGUUAACUUGUGAAUACGAAUAAAUGGGAUAAAGAAAAAUAGACAACCAGUUCGCAUUUUAAUAAGGAAACAGAAACAACUUUUUGUGUUGCAUCAAACAGAAGAUUUUGACUGCUGUGACUUUGUACUGCAUGAUCAACUUCAAAUCUGUGAUUGCUUACAGGAGGAAGAUAAGCUACUAAUUGAAAAUGGUUUUUACAUCUGGAUAUGAAAUAAGUGCCCUGUGUAGAAUUUUUUUCAUUCUUAUAUUUUGCCAGAUCUGUUAUCUAGCUGAGUUCAUUUCAUCUCUCCCUUUUUUAUAUCAAGUUUGAAUUUGGGAUAAUUUUUCUAUAUUAGGUACAAUUUAUCUAAACUGAAUUGAGAAAAAAUUACAGUAUUAUUCCUCAAAAUAACAUCAAUCUAUUUUUGUAAACCUGUUCAUACUAUUAAAUUUUGCCCUAAAAGACCUCUUAAUAAUGAUUGUUGCCAGUGACUGAUGAUUAAUUUUAUUUUACUUAAAAUAAGAAAAGGAGCACUUUAAUUACAACUGAAAAAUCAGAUUGUUUUGUAGUCCUUCCUUACACUAAUUUGAACUGUUAAAGAUUGCUGCUUUUUUUUUGACAUUGUCAAUAACGAAACCUAAUUGUAAAACAGUCACCAUUUACUACCAAUAACUUUUAGUUAAUGUUUUACAAGGAAAAAGACACAAGAAGAGUUUAAAUUUUUUUGUUUUGUUUUGUUUUUUUGAGACAGUCUUGCUCUGUUACCCAGGCUGGAGGGGAGUGGUGCAUUCUUGGCUCACUGCAACCUCCGCCUCCCAGGUUCAAGCAAUCCUCCCACCUCAGCCUCCCAACUAGCUGGGACUGCAGGCACACACCACCAUGCCUGACUAAUUUUUGUAUGUUUAGUAGAGACGGGGUUUUGCCAUGUUGCCUAGGCUGGGGUUUAAGUUAAAUUUUUUAAAAAACUAAAGUGACUGGCACUAAGUGAACUUGAGAUUAUCCUCAGCUUCAAGUUCCUAAGAUAAGGGCUUUCUUAAGCUUUCAGGUGUAUGUAUCCUCUAGAUGUAGACAAUAAUGUCCCAUUUCUAAGUCUUUUCCUUUUGCUUCUCCUUAAAUUGAUUGUACUUCCAAAUUUGCUGUUAUGUUUUUUUCCUAAUACUGUGAUCUAUCUGAUCUGCAGACAAGAACCUUGUCUCUGUUGAAGAGCAUCAAGGGGAGAUUAUGUACACAUUGAAACUGAAGUGUGGUGUUACUGACGGAAUGUGCAGUAACUCCUCAGAUAUCUGUUAAGGCAUUUCCCAGAUGUGAUGCCAGCCUUCUUACCUGUACUGAAAG
rnacentral:lncRNA from 10 species